AAUUCUCAAUCCUAUGCUCUCUUGUAUUGUAUGGUGAUUGGAUUAUGGAGGCUGCUGCUGGCUUGUUCAGCUCCUCUCAAAAGCAUUAGCAGGGUAUAAUGCCAUCUGUGCUUUGUAUGAUAUGUAUCUAUACAUUGUGCAAUUGUGCAUGUCUGCUACAAAUUGUCAGACUUUGACACUUGACCAAU
rnacentral:misc_RNA from 1 species